rnacentral:lncRNA from 1 species
CCUGAGAGUUCAGCAGUACAGUCUUCAUCUUUUGAAAGGCGGGAUCGCUUUGUUGGUCAAAGUGAGGGGAAAAAAGCACGACCUACUGCACGAAGGGAAGAUCCAAGCUUCGAAAGAUAUCCCAAAAAUUUCAGUGACUCCAGAAGAAAUGAGCCUCCACCACCAAGAAAUGAACUUAGAGAAUCAGACAGGCGAGAAGUACGAGGGGAGCGAGACGAAAGGAGAACGGUGAUUAUUCAUGACAGGCCUGAUAUCACUCAUCCUAGACAUCCUCGAGAGGCAGGGCCCAAUCCUUCCAGACCCACCAGCUGGAAAAGUGAAGGAAGCAUGUCCACUGACAAACGGGAAACAAGAGUUGAAAGGCCAGAACGAUCUGGGAGAGAAGUAUCAGGGCACAGUGUGAGAGGCGCUCCCCCUGGGAAUCGUAGCAGCGCUUCGGGGUACGGGAGCAGAGAGGGAGACAGAGGAGUCAUCACAGACCGAGGAGGUGGAUCACAGCACUAUCCUGAGGAGCGACAUGUGGUUGAACGCCAUGGACGGGACACAAGCGGACCAAGGAAAGAGUGGCAUGGUCCACCCUCUCAAGGGCCUAGCUAUCAUGAUACGAGGCGAAUGGGUGACGGCCGGGCAGGAGCAGGCAUGAUAACCCAACAUUCAAGGUAAAUAACUAACCAGUUUUUCUGCCAGCACACAACCAACACUUUAUCCUUUCCAUAAAAGUCAUUAUAGUUUCUGAGAGACUGAAUUGCAACUACUGAAAACCCUAGAUCUGCCUGAACAUUUCCCUGUAUCAACCCGUAGUCUCC